GACGAACCGAGCGAACGUUGUUCGGAAUCACUGGGCUUAAAGGGCGCGUAGGCGGGUGCUCAAGGCCGGGGUGAAAUCCUCCAGCUCAACUGGGGAACUGCCUCGGAUACUGGGCGUCUCGAGUGUGGUAGGGGUAUGCGGAACUAUCGGUGGAGCGGUGAAAUGCGUUGAUAUCGAUAGGAACUCCGGUGGCGAAGGCAGCUCGCUGGGACGGUACUGACGCUGAGGCGCGAAAGCUAGGGGAGCAAACAGG
rnacentral:rRNA from 1 species